CAAUUAAAGAGCAUCCCUUUGUGAGUCCUGUUGACAAAUCUUCUGUCCUCAUGUCUGUUGACAGUGCAAACAGUACGAUUUCUGCUUGUAACAUAAGCAUGUUGAAAUCCAUCCAGGGAUCCGACGCUCCGUGCAUAGCCCUUGUACCAAAAUGUGUCAACAGGACUCCUAUCCCUGCUGCUCCAGAAGGUACUGGACAGUCUAACUCCAUGGAUGGGAAGGCCCUGCUUGUACCCAGUAGCAAGGCUGCUAACCUAAUGUCCAAUCAGUACA
rnacentral:lncRNA from 1 species